UAUCAAAUCUUAGCAUUUUAGAAUAAUAAUUAUAUUUUUAUAAUGUUAGUGAUUCUUGUAUUAGCAUGCUAAUCUCUACGGAUUCCUUAGUCUUUCCAGUCAUUCCAAUGCACACUACUGAUGUUAUCUCAUGAUUCGUCUCUGUCUGUUCUACUCUGUAUUUCAUAUAACUGAAAAACUAAUGUUCUAAAAGUUCAUUAUACUUCACAUUGAGGAAAUCACCAUAACAUGCUGUUGAAUCACAACAGUCUCAUUCAGUGGGUGGAGGUAUAAUUUGAAGCUUUUCACACUUCCAGCACUUUUUCAAUGCCCUUGCCAUCUCAAAUGUUGUUUUCAGUAUGCAGUUUCCUACCCAUGAAUUAUUUAUUAAAACCCAUUGAAGUGAAAUGGACACUAUGAGAGACAAUGACAUGAUCAGCCCUUGUCUAGACUGUUGAGGAACAACUUACUAUUUUAUUCCUUUAGUAUUUUUGUUGUUGUUGUUGUUGCUCUGUUUGUUCUACAUAAGACCACUGGUUGAACUCUGUAAUCAAUGCACAAUCAUUCUUAGGUGUUUAAAAUUAACAGAAAAGUGAUCUCUGUUAAACAUAGGAGUGGGAAUAACAGAAGGAGGAGAUAUAUAGGUUGGCACAUGCUCACUCUGACUUACCUCCAAUGGUGGAACUAGAAAUGUGCCAGGGGAUUUCAACUCAAUCUUACCAAGGAGGCAGGUACCAAUGCCAGAGUACUUAGUAAAGUGAUGAGUAUAAAUACACAACCGAUCAAAAAGAUAGGGUAUGUGUCGAUGAGAUUUCACAAAUAAGACCAGUGUAAGCAAAUAAUGAAGGAUAGAAUUAAAAGGGAGAGAAUGAUCCUGCGGGGGAAACAGGACAUACAACAGACUCAUAGAAUGGCAGCACUCCUGCUUCAGAAUCAACCCUUGGGACAUUCUGAUCUGGCUAAAAGGUCCAUGAGAGUCUCACAGGCAUGGAAAGCCAUGACACGGUGGCAAAAAAACAAUCUAAAUGAAAGAUCCUGGUGAACAAGACCCCAGCAGAAGGAACAGACCAUCAAGGAGAGAGGCGCCUUUCUCUGAAGGGAGGAAGGAACCUCCACUGUGAUACGGCCUUGACUAAACAAGUUCAGAGUCAGUGAACUCAAGGGGCUUCCAUAGCCUAGACAGCUCAUAGCAAGAGUCUCGGGUGAUUGCUGACAUCAUAAAUAAGAGUUCCAAUUGUUAAAUCAACAAUGGGAGUCACUGGGUACAUGCUCCCCACGUAGGAUCUCUGUCAUUUAUGUGUUUUACUAUGAAACUUAAAAACAACACUACUAGUCGAACAAUACCCUAUACCUUGUGCGGUUGUGUGAGUGCGGCCUGUUGAAAUCCUUGCUUAGUAUAUACUAAGUUGAUCUUCAGUAUAUGAAGGAUUCACACAGGCUGCAUCACACAAGUUAAUCUGAUGAGAUAUUUAGCAGCAAUGAGGGAGAAGACAUGCUGGAGGCAAAAAUUAGGAAGCUACUAAAUCUGAUGAUGGAUGUUGCAUAAAUGGGGAAGAAUCUCUGUUUUUGAGAAAGCAUAUUCAAGAUAGAUUCCCAGAAAAUCACUGCUUAUGAUAUGGAAAAAAAUGGGCCAAUGACACAGAUGAAAAUAUAGCAGGAAGCAGCAAAAAAGAGCACACAGUGUUAAGCAAAAUAAGGGAACAGAGUCACAGAAAGAAGGUUAUUAUUAAUACAGAUAAAGGUCACAGAAAAAUCAAUGCAUAGAAGAUUUUUUUAAAGCCUUUAAAUACAUAGCUAAGUUAAAUAAUGUAAGAAUGUGUAUUUUCCUUCAUUUUCAAAGUACAUCCAUUGAUGACCCAAGAGAAUGGAGCAGUAACUCUUCCUAAAUGAAUAUUAGCACUGUGGCAUGUAAAGGGUGCUCAAUAUGCACUAUACUAUGCUUCCUAUUUGAAAGAUACACAAGGCAUUGGAAAUAAAUUAAGUUUAAUGAGUUUAAGGGUAUCCUAUUUGAGUAGAAAGAACUACUAUAAUUGUAGGUAGAAAUAACUAUGUAACUGAUUUGAUGCACAAAAAUGUGCACAUACUAUGACAAAAGCAGGGAUUUUAGAAAGUAAAAGCCUUUAUUGAUGCAGUUACAUUCUACCUGAGCAUUAAAAACAAGCAGCAAGAAGUUAGGUAAAGCUUAGGCAUGAGGUAAGGGUAGAUAAACAGAUAAGCAUUAGAUCAUAUAAAUCACUGUACACUCUGUAAUGCAGAAUAUUGGAUUAUUUAAAAGAGAAACAUCUUGUUGAGUAAUAUUUUAAAAUAUUAGCUAUUUCUUUUUUUAAAAAAAAUUAUUUAUUUGAGAGGUAGAGUUACAGACAAUGAGAGGGAGAGACAGAGAGAAAGGUCUUCCUUCUGUUGGUUCACUCCCCAAAUGGCCGCAACAGCUGGAGAUACGCCAACCUGAAGCCAGGAGCCAGGAGCUUCUUCCAGGUCUCUCAUGCAGGUGCAGGGACCCAAGGACUUGGGCCAUCCUCCACUGCCCUCCCAGGCCACAGCAGAGAGCUGAAUUGGAAGAGGAGCAGCCGGGUCUAGAACUGGCGCCCAUAUGAGAUCCUGGUGCCACAGACGAAGGAUUAACCUACUGUGCAAUGGCUAUUUCAGCAUAUGAUUUUCUCACUUGCCCAUCUUCAUUUAAGUAAAAAGAAAAAUCUGUACAUAUUACCAAAUUAAUGGAGGGUGAUUUCACUGCUUAGAUAGGAACUGAAGAAGCAGCAGUAUUCCAGAAACAAAACUGACUAGGAUUUCAAACAGUCUUACUGAGAUUCGCUGAACUUCUGCAUGACACAGAGAUGCAGAUGUUUUGACAUAGAACAGCAGAAUGAUUCUGAGUAUGCAAGAAUAAAACAAUGAUGUACACAAGGCUAAAAGGACCAUGUAGUCAGGAUCCUGAAGCAACUCCAAUAUCAUCUAACUAGACAUAAGAUGUGAUGCCUCUACCACUUAUCGUUUAGACUUUACAUAACUAAUGUCAGCUAAUGCAUUUUAACUUAAAAUUUUCAGUCAAUGACAAACACCUUCCAUACUUUUCAACAGUAAAAAUACGACAACAGCUACAUCCUCUUUUGACUCUAGAUUUUCUUGAAGAAUUUCAAAAUUCAGUAUGAUUAGUUCCUAAUAAUUGCAACUGCUAUAUUUACUCUCUCACCACUCAUUCAAUUCACUAAUAUGUUCAUUUGAUGUCACUAAAAUUAGAAAUGAGGAAAAAGUCUCUUACAAUGAAUUAAAUACUUCAGUAGAGCUAAACUAUAUGACUUUCUAAGUAUGAUAAUUUGGUAGGCUUUUGAAAGGAAGAAUGGAUAUUAAAAUAUCACUAAUUAUACAAUAUGUAGCCUUCUAUUAUGUUUCUCAAUGCAAUAACAAUGUACUUGUGUAAGGAAUUAUGUUACAAGAUUUCAUUGAGUGAAAUCCAAAUUAAAUAUCUCAAAAUUAAUAUUGAAGAGGCACUGUCUGUAAAAGAUGUCCUAAUAGUGAAAUGGAAAUGUCUUUCAUACAUUUAAAAAAAAAACCUUUGAUCCUCAUUUUCCUUUUUAUGGCUUCCUUCACAUUUGAAGAUAUAUGGUAAGUUGAUAAUAUGUUAUAAAGUGACCUUCACUGAUCUGUAAUAAUGACUGUCUAGAACAGAUCAUGGGAUUAUGGAUUACUCAAUGAAUAAUGAUCAGUUUUAAUGAAAAGGAAUAGUGAAACUUGUUUGACCCUGCCAGUUCUAUAUGUCCUUCCAAAAAGUCAUAGUCAUAUCUCAAUCCAUUCAUUUUACUACUUGAUGAUUUCUGAUUUUAGCAUCUUUAUAUCUAUAGGGGGUGUGGGGUUGAACAAAAAAAGCCUUCAAGAAAAUUAAUUCCUUUUUUAUAAAUUAAAUAUUAAGUCAAAGAAGUAAAAUUUUCAUGACGAUAUUUCAGUUAGAACCUGAUUUAUUUGUAAUGCCAACCAAAGGUGAAAAAUGAUAGCGUAGCUAGGCACUAUCUUAACAGAAAAUAUAUAUUAAGAAAAAAAUGAUGUUCACCAAAAAAACACUAAAAUAAUGGUAUUUUCACCCAGAAAACUUCUUUUAAAUGUAAUUUCAACAGAAAGGAGAAGAAACACCUAGAAAAAGAGUUCCAAUAUUUUGGAGAAAUAGAUAUGUAGGACUAAAUAAUUAAAGUUUAUUUCAAUUUAUUAAAGCAUCUGUUUGGAUGAAUUAACUAUACUUUUAGAUUGCGAUGUUUUGUAGGUUUUUACCAUAAUCAAAGAUAUUAAUGUAUUUUAAAAUUGUAGUGAUUAUACCAUCAAAUUAGAAAUAGUCAUUCUUUUUAUACAGGGUCCUAAAAGUUAAUGGACCAUGUCAGACAAAUUCCAUUUGUGUGAUUUUCCUAAAUAAAAGUAGACUGUGGAGAACUUUUCUCUCUGAAAGGAGAUAAUAUUUUUUCAUUUUUGCUACAAUAAAGCCCUAUUCAUAUUUUAGCUUUCAAUGUCAUAUUGCCAAUACUGAAUUUUUAUUGUCUCUUCUGCUAUAAAACAUGUCCUCCUCUUGUCAAGCUCAAAAGGGCACUGUGAUGAACCUUACAUUGCAUCAAAUCAUGAUCAUUUUCUGUCAACAUCUAUCACUACACUUCAGAAAGCGUGUCUUUCUUACAGUUUCCUCAAUGAAGUUAUUAUAUAAUCAACACACAUCAUGCAUCAUGCCAUGAAAUCCCUGCUCAAAACUGCAUUUGUCAGGAAAAUACAAAAGAAAUGUGCCUACUCUGAUAAAUGAAAUGUAAUAAGAUAUGUGUGUUAAGUAAUAAUUUUUCAAAAGAAUCUCAUAUUUAAAAGCUGAUUUGCUGAGUUAUCCAAAAGUAUCAAUGAAUAAUGAGGACAGAACAGAUGUGGGUCAUCUGAAAACCUGAAUGUAAAUGUUGCUUUAUAGUUUCAUAAAGCCAGUGGGAUUUUAACAUCUUCAGAAGAAAUUUAUGUUUUAAGAGAAUAAUUGAUAGAGAAAACUCAAAGAGAUUAUGAUCUGCAAAUGAACCAGAUAAACAAAUUCUUUGUGAUGGAAGUAUUAAGCGGGUACAUUCUAAAAACAGUGAAAUGCAAGUCCAAGAAACAUAGCCAAUCUGCCUAAUGAAUAUUUUGAGGCAGAAAUACAGAAAAUCAGGGCUAUUCUUUUUCCAUCUCAUUUUUUAGUUAACCUGCAAAUGCUGUCUUGAAAUUAGACUGCUCUGAGUUCAGUUUUGUUCUCUGCUGCUUUCUUACCAGUAAAGAGAUACCAUGACUAUAAUUUAUAGUUUGUC